CAGUCGCCACGGUAAUACGGAGGGUGCGAGUGUUAAUCGGAAUAACUGGGCGUAAAGGGCACGCAGGCGGUGUCUUAAGUGAGGUGUGAAAGCCCCGGGCUUAACCUGGGAAUUGCAUUUCAUACUGGGUCGCUAGAGUACUUUAGGGAGGGGUAGAAUUCCACGUGUAGCGGUGAAAUGCGUAGAGAUGUGGAGGAAUACCGAAGGCGAAGGCAGCCCCUUGGGAAUGUACUGACGCUCAUGUGCGAAAGCGUGGGGAGCAAACAGGAUUAGAUACCCCUGUAGUCCCUGUCUCUUAUAC
rnacentral:rRNA from 1 species